rnacentral:rRNA from 1 species
GAUGAACGCUGGCGGCGUGCCUAAUACAUGCAGGUCGAGCGAACGGACGAGAAGCUUGCUUCUCUGAUGUUAGCGGCGGACGGGUGAGUAACACGUGGAUAACCUACCUAUAAGACUGGGAUAACUUCGGGAAACCGGAGCUAAUACCGGAUAAUAUUUUGAACCGCAUUGUUCAAAAGUGAAAGACGGUCUUGCUGUCACUUAUAGAUGGAUCCGCGCUGCAUUAGCUAGUUGGUAAGGUAACGGCUUACCAAGGCAACGAUGCAUAGCCGACCUGAGAGGGUGAUCGGCCACACUGGAACUGAGACACGGUCCAGACUCCUACGGGAGGCAGCAGUAGGGAAUCUUCCGCAAUGGGCGAAAGCCUGACGGAGCAACGCCGCGUGAGUGAUGAAGGUCUUCGGAUCGUAAAACUCUGUUAUUAGGGAAGAACAUAUGUGUAAGUAACUGUGCACAUCUUGACGGUACCUAAUCAGAAAGCCACGGCUAACUACGUG